GACGAACGCUGGCGGCGUGCCUAAUACAUGCAAGUAGAACGCUGAAGGAGGAGCUUGCUUCUCCGGAUGAGUUGCGAACGGGUGAGUAACGCGUAGGUAACCUGCCUGGUAGCGGGGGAUAACUAUUGGAAACGAUAGCUAGUACCGCAUAACAGUAGAUAUCGCAUGAUAUCUGCUUGAAAGGUGCAAUUGCAUCACUACCAGAUGGACCUGCGUUGUAUUAGCUAGUUGGUGAGGUAACGGCUCACCAAGGCGACGAUACAUAGCCGACCUGAGAGGGUGAUCGGCCACACUGGGACUGAGACACGGCCCAGACUCCUACGGGAGGCAGCAGUAGGGAAUCUUCGGCAAUGGACGGAAGUCUGACCGAGCAACGCCGCGUGAGUGAAGAAGGUUUUCGGAUCGUAAAGCUCGGUUGUAAGAGAAGAACGAGUGUGAGAGUGGAAAGUUCACACUGUGACGGUAUCUUACCAGAAAGGGACGGCUAACUACGUG
rnacentral:rRNA from 1 species